UGGGGAAUUUUGGACAAUGGGCGAAAGCCUGAUCCAGCAAUGCCGCGUGUGUGAAGAAGGCCUUCGGGUUGUAAAGCACUUUUGUCCGGAAAGAAAUCCUUGGCUCUAAUACAGUCGGGGGAUGACGGUACCGGAAGAAUAAGCACCGGCUAACUACGUGCCAGCAGCCGCGGUAAUACGUAGGGUGCAAGCGUUAAUCGGAAUUACUGGGCGUAAAGCGUGCGCAGGCGGUUUGCUAAGACCGAUGUGAAAUCCCCGGGCUCAACCUGGGAACUGCAUUGGUGACUGGCAGGCUAGAGUAUGGCAGAGGGGGGUAGAAUUCCACGUGUAGCAGUGAAAUGCGUAGAGAUGUGGAGGAAUACCGAUGGCGAAGGCAGCCCCCUGGGCCAAAUACUGACGCUCAUGCACGAAAGCGUGGGGAGCAAACAGGAUUNGAUACCCUGGUAGUCCACGCCCUAAACGAUGUCAACUAGUUGUUGGGGAUUCAUUUCCUUAGUAACGUAGCUAACGCGUGAAGUUGACCGCCUGGGGAGUACGGUCGCAAGAUU
rnacentral:rRNA from 1 species